rnacentral:rRNA from 1 species
UGGGGAAUUUUGCGCAAUGGGGGAAACCCUGACGCAGCAACGCCGCGUGAGUGAUGAAGGCCUUCGGGUCGUAAAGCUCUGUCAGAGGGGAAGAAGUGUGAGGUGGCUAAUAUCCAUUUCACUUGACGGUACCUUCAAAGGAAGCACCGGCUAACUCCGUGCCAGCAGCCGCGGUAAUACGGAGGGUGCGAGCGUUGUUCGGAAUUAUUGGGCGUAAAGCGCGUGUAGGCGGUUUUUUAAGCUGAUGUGAAAGCCCUGGGCUCAACCCGGGAAGUGCAUUGGAAACUGGGAGACUUGAAUACGGGAGAGGGCAGUGGAAUUCCUGGUGUAGGAGUGAAAUCCGUAGAUAUCAGGAGGAACACCGGUGGCGAAGGCGGCUGCCUGGACCGAUAUUGACGCUGA